UGUUUCCGUUUGCUGCAUCACCGGCCACCUCCCCACGUGAAGCAGUUGUGCAAGCAUCACCACGCUGGGCAGCUGUCUACCUGCGUACAAGCACUCCUGAAGUGGCAGGGAAGUGGAGGCUGCGGAGAUAGUCUAGUAAACCUCUGUGAGGCAACUGGCAGCAGCGCUACGACGGCACCAUGUCCGUGAUCUGCUCGAUCUCCAAUGAAGUGCCAGAGUACCCGUGCGUGUCCCCUGUCUCUAAUCAUGUGUAUGAGCAGCGACUCAUUGAGAAAGAAGUACAUUGCUGAGAAUGGCACAGAUCCUGUCAACAACCAGCCUCUCUCAGAGGAGCAGCCCAUCGACAUCAAAGUUGCUCACCCAAUCCGACCCAAGCCUCCCUCCGCCACCAGCAUCCCAGCCAUUCUGAAAGCCUUGCAGGAUAGUGGGAUGCAGUCAUGCUGCACAGCGUCACUCUUCGCCAGCAACUGCAGACAACCGGCCAGGAGCUGUCCCAUGCUCUGUACCAGCACGAUGCUGCCUGCCGCAUCAUUGCCUGGCUCACCAAGGAAGUCACUGCUGCUCGAGAACGGCUGGCUUCUCUGAAACCACAGGCUGGGCUUAUUGUACCUCAGGCUGUGUCGAGCUCACAGCCCAGUGUUGUGGGUGCAGGAGAGCCCGUGGAUUUGGGUGAACUGGUGGGAAUGACCCCUGAGAUUAUCUAGAAGCUUCAAGACAAGGCCACUGUGCUAACCAUGGAGCGUAAGAAGAGAAGAAAGACUGUCCCUGAGGAGCUGGUGAGACCUGAAGAGCUCAGCAAGUACCAACAGGUGGCACCCAUGGGGCUAGACAGUGCUAGCAUUCUUGGGAUUCUCGCUCUGGACCUGUGUCCCUCAGACACCAACAAGAUUCUCACUGGUGGGGCAGAUAAAAAUGUUGUUGUCUUUUGAUAAGAGUACUGAGCAAAUCCUGGCCACUCUCAAAGGCCAUACCAAGAAGGUCACCAGUGUGGCUUUUCAUCCUUCCCAGGAACUGUUUUCUGUAUCCCCUGAUGCUACUAUCAGGAUUGGUUGGUCCCGAACACGUCCUGUGUACAGGUUGUUCGGGCCCAUGAGAGUGAGGUGACAGGCCUCAGCCUCCACGCUACUGGAGACUAUCUCCUGAGCGCCUCUGAUGAUCAGUAUUGGGCCUUCUCUGACAUCCAGACAGGGCGUGUGCUCUCUAAGGUGACAGAUGAGCCCUUGGGCUGCUCUCUUACCUGUGCACAGUUCCACCCUGAUGGGCUUAUCUUUGGAACAGGAACCAUUGACUCCCAGAUCAAGAUCUGGGACUUGAAGAAGCAUACCAGUGUGGCCAACUUCCCUGGCCACUCUGGCCCCAUUACCAGCAUCGCCUUCUCUGAGAAUGGGUACUACCUGGCCAUGGCAGCUGGUGAUUCCUCAGUCAAGCUCUGGGACUUACGCAAGUUGAAGAACUUGAAGACAUUGCAGCUGGACAACAACUUUGAGGUGAAAUCACUAAUCUUUGACCAGAGCGGCACCUACCUGGCGCUUGGGGGUACAGAUGUCCAGAUCUGCAUCUGCAAACAGUGGACAGAGAUUCUUCACUUUACAGAGCACAGUGGCCUGACCACUGGAGUGGCCUGUGGACACCAUGCCAAGUUCAUCCCUUCAACCGGCAUGGACAGGAGCCUCAAAUUCUACAGUCUGUAG